rnacentral:rRNA from 1 species
GAGUCUUAACUGGGCGUUCAGUCUCUGGAUAUAGACCCGAAACCAGGUGAUCUAGCCAUGGGCAGGUUGAAGGUUGAGUAACAUCAACUGGAGGACCGAACCGACUAAUGUUGAAAAAUUAGCGGAUGACUUGUGGCUAGGGGUGAAAGGCCAAUCAAACCUGGAGAUAGCUGGUUCUCCCCGAAAGCUAUUUAGGUAGCGCCUCGGACGAAUACUACUGGGGGUAGAGCACUGUUAAGGCUAGGGGGUCAUCCCGACUUACCAACCCUUUGCAAACUCCGAAUACCAGUAAGUACUAUCCGGGAGACACACGGCGGGUGCUAACGUCCGUCGUGGAGAGGGAAACAACCCAGACCGCCAGCUAAGGUCCCAAAUUACUACUAAGUGGGAAACGAUGUGGGAAGGCUCAGACAGCCAGGAUGUUGGCUUAGAAGCAGCCAUCAUUUAAAGAAAGCGUAAUAGCUCACUGGUCGAGUCGGCCUGCGCGGAAGAUGUAACGGGGCUAAGUAGUAAACCGAAGCUGCGGCAAUGCACUUUAGUGCAUUGGGUAGGGGAGCGUUCUGUAAGCGGUUGAAGGUGUGUGGUAACGCAUGCUGGACGUAUCAGAAGUGCGAAUGCUGACAUGAGUAACGAUAAAGGGGGUGAAAAACCUCCUCGCCGGAAGACCAAGGGUUCCUGUCCAACGUUAAUCGGGGCAGGGUAAGUCGACCCCUAAGGCGAGGCCGAAAGGCGUAGUCGAUGGGAAACGGGUUAAUAUUCCCGUACUUCUUACAAUUGCGAUGGGGGGACGGAGAAGGCUAGGUGGGCCUGGCGACGGUUGUCCAGGUUCAAGUGCGUAGGCUUAAGAGUUAGGUAAAUCCGGCUCUUUCUAAGGCUGAGACACGACGUCGAGCUACUACGGUAGUGAAGUCAUUGAUGCCAUGCUUCCAGGAAAAGCCUCUAAGCUUCAGAUUGUAAGGAAUCGUACCCCAAACCGACACAGGUGGUCGGGUAGAGAAUACCAAGGCGCUUGAGAGAACUCGGGUGAAGGAACUAGGCAAAAUGGUACCGUAACUUCGGGAGAAGGUACGCUCUCGACGG